rnacentral:rRNA from 1 species
ACGGAAGGCAGCAGCUAAGAAUAUUCCGCAAUGGACGAAAGUCUGACGGAGCGACGCCGCGUGGAUGAUGAAGGCCGGAAGGUUGUAAAAUCCUUUUAUAACUGAGGAAUAAGUAAGGUGAGAGAAACGCCUUAUGGUGACUGUAGGUUAUGUAUAAGCAACGGCUAAUUACGUGCCAGCAGCCGCGGUAACACGUAAGUUGCGAGCGUUGUUCGGAAUUAUUGGGCGUAAAGGGCAUGUAGGCGGUGUUGCAAGUUUGGUGUGAAAUCCCGGGGCUUAACUGCGGAAUUGCGUUGAGAACUGCAUAACUAGAGUAACUGAGGGGCAAUCAGAAUUCCUGGUGUAGGGGUGAAAUCUGUAGAUAUCAGGAAGAAUACCAGUGGCGAAGGCAGGUUACCAGCAGAUGACUGACGCUGAGGUGCGAAGGCGCGGGGAGCAAACAGGAUUAGAUACCCUGGUA